rnacentral:lncRNA from 1 species
CUCCUUCAAUCCAAGAAAAUAUAAAGUUGAGGAGAGUGGAGAACCUUUAUUAAAUUACCAUGAUACCAUGAUCCAUUUUCAGAACCAGGGCAUGUGCAUUGACGGUGAUAUAAACUUUAAAAAUAAGAUACAGGAAGAAUUUAAAUUUAUAGAAAGAGACAUGUCUGUAACUUUAGAAACUGAUAAACCAAUCACAUGCGCUGAAAUUAAAGAAGUCUUUAUCAAAACUUAAGUAAGGUAAAGCCUCUGGUCCUGAUAAAAU